rnacentral:tRNA from 1 species
GGGCUGGGGCUCAGUGGUAGAGCACUUGCCUAGCAUGUGUGAGGCCCUGGGUUCAAGCCUCAGCACCACA